rnacentral:tRNA from 1 species
GGCCCCCUGGCGGAAUUGGUAGACGCAGGAGACUUAAAAUCUCCGUCCGUUAGCGGAGUGCCGGUUCGAGUCCGGCGGGGGCCACCA